rnacentral:tRNA from 1 species
UGGUAAAAGAGGGAAUUAAGCCCCCAUAAGUAAGACUACAGCUUACCGCCUAAACACUCAGCCAUUUUACC